AGAAUUUUCCCACAAAACUAAUCCAAGGUCUGUUGUCUAGAGGGACCCUCCCUACACACUGCAUCUCGCCGUCUUCAGUCAGCUGCCCUCCGCCCCUCUAUCUCCAUCUUGCGACUGAGUUCCCUCCUCUCAAUCUCCAUCGCCACCGCUACCGCAACCACAGUAUCAUCUGCUCCGUCUUACUUGAAAGUGUUACAGACUCUCAGCUAAGCAGAGGAAUGGCAUUGAUGAGGGGAGAGCCACUAGUGGCAAAACUGGCAGCCUUGGCUAAGUAUGUGGUCUUUCCUGGAGCCAUGGCCGCAGCUGUCAUCUAUUCCCCUCCUGGUUACGCUCUCAAGAACGAUCCUAAAUCCACCAAAUAAGACUAGCUCGGGGCCUACUGCAUGGAAGGUGAUGCUAGAAGGACCAUAACUAAAUACGUCUCUCCCUUUGUUCAAAUUUGGUAUGUAAUAAUCUGGGCUAAAUAGUUGCUCAAUCUGAGGGGUGUUUCCUGCUUCCUUUGAAGAACUUAGACCGCAAACUGUUUGGAUGUACUUUCUCAAUGUGGUUUCCCCGUUUGGAACGUACUUUCUACAAAAAACGCUUUGGAUUACAAUGAUUUUUAGAUAACAGCAGAGUGUAGAAGUGCUGCAAGCGAUGAUAGGCUCUCUGUGGACUCUGUUACUUGUCAGUGUUACUCUUAAUUUGAAUUCAAAUGGUUACAGUUGUCUUUUA